CAGUCGCCGCGGGAAUACGUAGGUGGCAAGCGUUGUCCGGAAUUAUUGGGCGUAAAGCGCGCGCAGGCGGAUCAGUCAGUCUGUCUUAAAAGUUCGGGGCUUAACCCCGUGAUGGGAUGGAAACUGCUGAUCUAGAGUAUCGGAGAGGAAAGUGGAAUUCCUAGUGUAGCGGUGAAAUGCGUAGAUAUUAGGAAGAACACCAGUGGCGAAGGCGACUUUCUGGACGAAGACUGACGCUGAGGCGCGAAAGCCAGGGGAGCGAACGGGAUUAGAUACCCCAGUAGUCCCUGUCUCUUAUACC
rnacentral:rRNA from 1 species